rnacentral:rRNA from 1 species
AGUCGAACGAUGAAGCCCUUCGGGGUGGAUUAGUGGCGAACGGGUGAGUAACACGUGGGCAAUCUGCCCUUCACUCUGGGACAAGCCCUGGAAACGGGGUCUAAUACCGGAUACGACCUGGGAAGGCAUCUUCCCGGGUGGAAAGCUCCGGCGGUGAAGGAUGAGCCCGCGGCCUAUCAGCUUGUUGGUGGGGUAAUGGCCUACCAAGGCGACGACGGGUAGCCGGCCUGAGAGGGCGACCGGCCACACUGGGACUGAGACACGGCCCAGACUCCUACGGGAGGCAGCAGUGGGGAAUAUUGCACAAUGGGCGCAAGCCUGAUGCAGCGACGCCGCGUGAGGGAUGACGGCCUUCGGGUUGUAAACCUCUUUCAGCAGGGAAGAAGCGCAAGUGACGGUACCUGCAGAAGAAGCGCCGGCUAACUACGUGCCAGCAGCCGCGGUAAUACGUAGGGCGCAAGCGUUGUCCGGAAUUAUUGGGCGUAAAGAGCUCGUAGGCGGCUUGUCACGUCGGGUGUGAAAGCCCGGGGCUUAACCCCGGGUCUGCAUCCGAUACGGGCAGGCUAGAGUGUGGUAGGGGAGAUCGGAAUUCCUGGUGUAGCGGUGAAAUGCGCAGAUAUCAGGAGGAACACCGGUGGCGAAGGCGGAUCUCUGGGCCAUUACUGACGCUGAGGAGCGAAAGCGUGGGGAGCGAACAGGA